GGCGAGUGAAGAGGAAAGAGCUCAAAGUUGGAACCUGUUUGGCCUAGCUAAACAGGAUUGUAAACUGUAGAAGUGUUUUCCAGGCAAUCCGAGUUAAUAAGUCCUUUGGAACAGGGCAUCAUAGAGGGUGAGAAUCCCGUCUUUGAUUCGAGAUAUUUUGUCUUUUGCGAUACACUUUCAAAGAGUCAGGUUGUUUGGGAAUGCAGCCUAAAUUGGGUGGUAAAUCUCACCUAAAGCUAAAUAUUGGCGAGAAACCGAUAGCGAACAAGUACCGUGAGGGAAAGAUGAAAAGAACUUUGAAAAGAGAGUUAAACAGUAUGUGAAAUUGUUAAAAGGGAACCGUUUGGAGCCAGACUGGCUUGUCUGUAAUCAAUCUAGGUUUCGUGCCUGGAUGCACUUGCAGACUAUUUGCCUGCCAACGACAAUUUUUUUUGAGUGUAAAAACUAUUGGAAAUGUGGCCAAUAUUUAUUUAUUGGUGUUAUAGUCCUUUAGAAAAUACCUUGAAUUGGAUUGAGGAACGCAGCGAAUGCUUCUCUUUUGAGGCAAAGUCUUUUAUUGG
rnacentral:rRNA from 1 species